rnacentral:rRNA from 1 species
CCUACGGGUGGCUGCAGUGGGGAAUAUUGGACAAUGGGGGGAACCCUGAUCCAGCCAUGCCGCGUGUGUGAAGAAGGCCCUCGGGUUGUAAAGCACUUUCAGUGAGGAAGAACGCCUGGUGGUUAAUACCCAUCAGGAAAGACCUCACUCACAUAAGAAGCACCGGCUAACUCCGUGCCAGCAGCCGCGGUAAUACGGAGGGUGCGAGCGUUAAUCGGAAUUACUGGGCGUAAAGCGCGCGUAGGUGGCUUGAUAAGCCGGUUGUGAAAGCCCCGGGCUCAACCGGGGAACGGCAUCCGGAACUGUCAAGCUAGAGUGCAGGCGAGGAAGGUAGAAUUCCCGGGGUAGCGGUGAAAUGCGUGGAGAUCGGGAGGAAUACCAGUGGCGAAGGCGGCCUUCUGGACUGACACUGACACUGAGGUGCGAAAGCGUGGGUAGCAAACCGGAUUAGAUACCCGAGUAGUC